rnacentral:lncRNA from 1 species
GAUGGUAGUCAAGUUGGAGACUGUCACGAUGACCUAAAUAUCAAACAAGUUUAACCUCUCUUCUUUCUGUCCUUCCUAUACGGUCACAACUGUUGUAGGAAAUCAGAAGUCUGCAGGAACAAAGAUGCACAUAAAGGACUCGAUCAGGAUCGCCAUUACCAUUUUACUAUUAGCAUGUUCUCUGUUUCUUCUCCCUCUAUUCCCCUGGAGUGAUGGCCAGACAAACCAGCGCCAACCGACAGGGAUCUACCGCUGAUGACAACGGGGUGCUAAUGAUACCUCCAAUAAAAUAUGCAAACUAUUUUGCUCUAAUGCAAUAGUAUAAGUGAUUCCAGGUCCAGAGUAUUAAAGAAGAAGAAGCAAAGGCAGAUGAGAAUGGCUGGCCAAGGCAGCAAUGGAGAGGAUCCAGAUGACGAAGGGGAAACAGAGGAUGAUGAUGAAGAUGGAGACUACUGGCGGGAGCAGCAGGAGAAGCUGGAGAGAGAAAGAAAGGCCAUCAUGGAAGAUGAUGUCUGGUAGCAGAUGAGAAGACUCGUCUACUGAAAGAGAAGGAGAGGAAGAUGGAAGAUCUGAGGCGGGAGAGGAAGGCCCAGUACAAAAUUGCAGCCAAAGUCCCGAUCAUGGAGAGUAAACUCCUGGUUGGAGGGAAGAACAUCAUGGAUCACACCAAUGAGCAGCAGAGAAUGGUGGAGCUGAAAGCAGGAAAUUGCUGAACAGGUACAUCAAAUGCUGGCCAACAUUUUGAAGGGGAUCUCCUCACACGGUCACAUUUCCUCUGUGUGAAAAUGUCUUUGUGUCC